UGCUCUACCAAUUUCCAUAAGGUAAAUCCAGCCUUGCAGUUCCCAUCAUUUCUCUAAAGCACCCAGUGACAGAGGUCUUAUUUGUGUGUGCCAACUAUAUGAAGAAAAUCAUUGAGGACUGCAGUCUGAGGAGACGAUUAAACUACUACGAUUCUGCUGCUGGCAGAACCCUCACUUCUCGUCCACUGCGUUAAGCGAGCUUCUCUGGCAGAAUCCACAAUGUGCUAAAAAGAAUUUCUGAUGACCGGGAUGGGUUGUUAUACCAUUCAGCGUUCCAAGAAUCACUACAAGAAGAGGGCUUAUAAGUGCAUUACGUGCAUGGUAGCUCUCUUCAGCAACUGCCCUGUGGCCUGCCAGAUCCUACAGCCAAACAACCACACCCAUGGGCAGCCAUGCACGGGUCCAGCUGCCCCCACAUUAGCAACCCUCGGCGUGCCCCUCAGACGCCUCAGGACAACUGGGAGGACACAGAACUAGUGCUCCCUGUCCAGAUGAAAGAGUAGCCAUCUCCACAAGGGAAUAACCUCCAAAUACACCUUACAUCUGCUCUUUACCCUGUCACCUCCUUCUCCCACAUCAUCAGCCACCCACCUAUUCCUAAGUAAGAAUGUUUACCUCAGAAUCAGAGUGGAUUUGUCCUCUGCUGAGCAAGGUGCACUUAAUAUAUGCUCACAGGAACACAGACAUGCUUAAUGUGGAGAUGGUGUACAUAUCGUGUAUAAAUCUAGACAGUGAAAUAACUACCAACUAGAAUAUUGGCUGCCAAAUUGUGAAUGUGUUAUAUGGGAAUGAGGAUAUGUAUUCAUGAUUCUGAUUGUAGGGAAUAAAACCUGGUUAGAAUGCCAACACUGAAACAAAAAUAAAAAUUGUGGGUUUUAAAAUAUGUUCAUCUAAACCUGAGGUGUUUAGUCUUAUCUGCAGAGAGUCAGUGUAGGUGUAGGUUUCUUAUUUGUAGCACACCUAAUUUCAUUGGUUCUGAUUAUUUAUAUAUAGUUGGAUUUUUGAACAUCUUUCAUUUUUCAUCUAAAAUUUACCACUACUACUGCAUUACUUUAGUCACUGUAUUUUUCCCUGCCAACCUUACACUCCAAACAAAGGCCACAGUUGUAGCUGUCAUUAGGUGAAAUGGCAAAUUUGUCCUAAACUAAUGCUAAACAGAAAAUUACAUUUUGAAUGUUUCAUUUAAUAUAAUAUAAAAUAAUAUUAGCAGAUACUAGCGAUUUGCUUAGUUAUCACUUAACCACUUGGGAAACUUGCCACUUGUCCAAACUCACUACAGUCAGUUAGCAGCCAUAUACCUAAAACUCGAAGGAUAAACAUUGAUCUAGGAGAGUGUAUCAUCAGGGGUAUACAUCUGUGAUUAGCAUUCUGCAGUAUUGGUUGGUGUCCAUACAUACUAGACCAGAUUAUUUAAUGAAUGAUUGGAUUUUAUUUCAUGGUUUUGUUUGAAAUACCAAAAUGAUGAUGUGACCCCAAAUUAUAUUUAUAUGUUUUUAAUAAAUGUUAUUUCUGAAAUAAUCAAAGGUAUAUUUAAAUGCUUGAGUGUAAUGUGUUAAAUCAAGCAUGCCUUUUGACAAAAAUAGUCAAAUUAUAGAUUGUAUAUCAUGGUAUUUAUAGUGAUGUAUCUGUUUUUCAAUUGUUCUUUCAUAUCUUGUAUAUUUAUCUGGAGAACUCUGCAGCUGCGUUGAACAUUUUUUUGUAUCUUCUAAAGUAUAUUACCCCCUUGUAGCCCUUAAACAUUCUUCUAGACAUUUGUUAAAACUGCUAG